rnacentral:lncRNA from 1 species
ACUAGACAGCUUUGUUGUUUAUUCUAAGUACAAAUGUUAAAUUUUUGAUAGAGUAUAAGGCUUAUUACCUUUUUUUUUUUAACAAAACGAGAAGAAUCAAGACAAUUUCUUUUCUUUAGCUACAUAGAAAUGAUUUCUGUUUUCAAACUUCAUGAUUUUAAAGGAAAGACUGUCCUGGGGCAGAAGGGAAUCCUGCCAACCAGCAUACCAAGAAUUCUGAGACAGACUCAGGUCUUUUUUGCUAAUCUGGUUUGAGUCACUUAGCCUCCAAUUCUUCAUGAGGAGUGUCAACCACUUCAUGAAAAUAACAUGGAUUAACCAAGCCAUUGCUCUAGAAACCAGAGUCCCAGGUGUCUGGGCCUCACAAGGUACUUAGGCUGAGCUGGGAAAUAACUGAGUGCUGUCUUCCUGAGACAGAAGAGUGUCUGACUGACCAAUGCAUGCAUCGUUCUCGGAGGCUAGCAAGGCUUGUAUGAUGCUAAAUGAAUUUAAUGAUUUAAUAGGCUGAAUCCAUAAUAUAUGUAAUUAAAAAAAUGGAUACAGCGGGCACUGUUACCUUAAGUUGAACAGAAGAACAGCUCUGGCUCCUCUAUAUACAUUCAUUUCAACAGUUAAUGCUUUUCCAAUCAAUGCAGAUUAACCAGGAUGUAGAGUCCACAUUUCAUGGUGCUAGCUAGCUUUUGGGUAAAGACUGGCAGGGCAAGAGGUGGGGCAGGGGAGGCAACAAAUGGAGGACAUGUAUAAGGGGAAAUACGAAGCAGAAAUGUGAUUGCAACCCAGCAGUCACAUGUUGACAGUAAAUAGGAAAGACGACCUUCUAAAAGGUAAUAAAAUAUGGGAAACAGAAAACUGGAGGUUAUAGUAAAACAAAAAUGAAAAAUCAUCAGUAGUCCUUAUCUGUGGGACAUAUGUUCCAAGACCCCCAAAGGAUGCCUUGAAACGCGGAUAGUACCCAACUCUAUAUAUACUAUGGCUUUUCCUAUACAUACAUAUCUAUGAUACAGUUCAAUUUAUAAAUUAGGCAGAGUAAGCGAUUAACAACAAUAAUAAUGCAACUGUUAUACUGUAAUAAAAGUUACUGUAGAUUUUAGCAGUCUCAGCAUAAGAUGUUUUUUCUUUCCUUAGUGAGUCUAGAACUUUCACCUUUUCACUUAAAGGAAGCACUUUAUGACUUCUCUUUGGCAUAUCCAAAUCACCAGCAUCACAACUUUUGUGCUAUGGGGCUAUUAUUAAGUAAAAUAAGAGUUACUUGAACACAAGCACUGUGACAUUGCCACAGUCGAUCUGAUAACUGAGAGGGCUACUAAGUGACUAAUGGGCAGACAGCAUAUAUAACGUGGACCUGCUGGACAAAGGGAUGAUUCAUGUUCUGGGUCGGAGGGCAUGAGAUUUCAUCACGCUACUGAGAAUGGUGUGUAACUUAAAACUUAUGAGUUGUUUAUUUCUGGAAUUUUCCAUUUAAUAUUUUCAGACCUUGGUCACCUGGAGGUAACUGAAACCACAGACAGUAAAACCACAGAUAAGAGGAGACUACUGUAUCAGAAUAAAGAACCAAGACCUGAAUUACACUUCAAAAAUUGACUAAGAUAGAAUGUUAAUAAAUUGCUCUAACUAGAUCUUCUGGAAGGUAAGAAGUCUGGCAAGCCAAAUUGAAUAGAGAUAAAGCAAAGUGGCUAUCACCUUAUUUGUGAACAGGCUGUUGUAAAUAAGCCGCAACACAUUUAUGUUUUAUUCCCCCAAAAUGUGACAUCCAAUCUUAGGAAAUGUGGGUUGGUGCUUGGUCCCAAACUCUAAUUGGAAACAGUCAUUAUUUAUGGAUAAGUGUGGAAGAGGAGGCCAAAAAUGACAAGUAAGCACUGACCCCCAGAAGGAUGGGCAAUAAUAAAGUAUUUAGAAAAAUACCAUCCAAAAUUAAAACUGUCUAUAGGAGACUUCCCACCUUUAUGGAGGUGGUAGACUGAAUGCCAGUGCUUUCCAUGGUUCCUGAUUUUCUCCUCUGUGGGAAUCUUUGUCAAUGUUUGGGGAAAGAUACAUGCAUCAGGGUUUGGUCAGAAGCAGAAACACUGGGUGAUAUACAAUGAGGAGUUUAUUCUAGGGAUCAGACAACUGUGGGAUCUAGUGAAGAAAUCAGUGGGAGUGUGUUGCCUCUGUGUUUGAUGAUGGGCUGAGUUCUCUGGUGGUCAGCAGAGCUACCAGGGAGAAAAGCUGGGCACGAAGUGUAGGAGAGCAAGGAAGAACCGCAAUUAGGAGGAAAAAGUAGAACACACAUUUCCCUCUUCUGACUUCCAUGACGUGGCUGACUUUGAAUAAAGAUCUAGUGCCCUUUGCCAUGGAGCUGAACAUGUACCUGGCCCAGGACUUGCAAAGCUGAAGGAGGAGACCUGGAGAGAGCUUCAGGAGCUGCAGUCACAGCUGCUGCCCUAAGUUAAGGAAUGAACGCCCUAUGAUGAUAGAGGCAGAGAUUGGAGUGAUGCAUCUACAAGCCAAGGAACACCAAAGUUUGCUGGAUAUCACCAGAAGCUAGGAGAGAGGAAUGGAACAGAUUCUCCCUCAGAGACUUCAAAAGGAACUAACCAUGAUGACACCUUGAUUUUGGAUUUCCAGCCUCUAGACUGUAAGAUAAAUUUCUGUAGUUUUAAGCCAUGCAGUUUGUGGGACUUUGAUAUGGCAGCCCAAGCAAAUGAAUGCAAAGGAUAACUACCUUAACCAUAUUUUAUAUUAGAUGGUAGAAAGAGGAGAAAAAAAGAAUUGGUUGAUAUAUCACCAAAUAUAUUUAUAUCAAAGUAUGGAAUAUUCAUAACUCUUACCGUCCUAAUUCCUACAACUGAUUAUGUGGUCACAGCAGAUGUUUUUAACUUCUUUCCAUUCUAUAUACCCUUUGUCCUCAGCAAGCACUUCACCUGGUUAUUGUUCCUUGCCUGUUGAGGUGACCUAAGUCUUCAUUUUUGAAGGAUCUGAACCUUUGGCAGUCUGCCUACAUUGGGUUGUUUUCCAUUUACUUUUGUUAUAAGACAUGAGAGUUUCAGAGGUGCCCUUUGUCUCCUUACUCGUAUAGUCUAGUAAUAAUCCAGUUUCCCCUUGAUAGUCACAGUCAUCCCAGCCAGUAUAGUAACCCCAUUCUUUGCCUGUUGGUUCUUUAGCAUGAGGAGCCCAAAGUGGCCAGUAGGCAGCAUCACCUUCCAGUUUAAUGGAGCCAUUGUUGGAUCUCCUAGCAGAGCACCUCUCCCUUGGGAACUAAGCCUUCUAGGCCAGCAGAAUCCAAAGUUGCAGGCUAGGAAGAACAAAUUUUGCAAGGGGAUCACGAGGGGUAACAGUGACAGGACAUUUUCCCAUUUCAACUCCUUGAUUUCUGGACCUGUGAAUCCUGGAUAAAGGAGAAACAGUAACAUAUAUUGGUUAAUGAUUUAGAGAAUUUACUGCAUUUUGAAAGACAUUACCCUAGCCCUGCAAAGUGUUUCCAUUCAUCUAGCACAGUAACUGAAUUGUCAAAAGAACCAUUCCACUGCUUCAGAGUGAUGGAUAAGAUGGUAAAACUAGUGAAUUACGUGAUCAUGAUCCCGUUGCUACACUUCAUUUGUCGCAAAAUAAGUUUCUUGGUUAGAAGCAAAGCAUUGUGGAAUACCAUGAUGGGGAAUAAGACAUAAGAAUUCUAUAAGUCUGCCAAUACUUAUUUUGGAAAAAGUAUUGCAGACAGGGAAGGCAAAUCCACAUGAAGCGUAAGUUUCUAUGGAGUGAGAACAAAACAUUGCCCUUUCCGUGAUAGAAGUGGCCUAAUGUAAUUAACUUACCAUCAGAUAGGUGGCUGAUUCUCUGGGAAUGGUGCUAUUUCAGGGGCUCAGUGUUGGGCUCUGCUUUGGUUGGGUUGGACACUAAGCGGUGGCUACAGCCAGAUUAGACAUGGUGAGCGAAAAUUCACAUUGCUGAGCCCAUGUAUACGCUCCAUCUCUGCCACCACAGCUACUUGGUUCAUGAUCCCAUUGGUCAAGAAUAGGAGUGACUGGAGAAAGAGACCUGACGGAGGUGUCAUCUUGACAAUUAUUAAGAUCUUUCUUUGCUGAGGUGGAGCUUUGUCGAGCAUUCACGUGGGACAUUGUGUAUCCAUUCAGGGAGUUCUGUCCAUUUACUUCUUCCCCAGACUUUCUUGUCACCAAUUUUCCAAUCAUGUUUCUUCUAAGUCUCCAAUGUAGAAUAUGAAAUUCAGAAUUAUCAUCCCAAGGAGUAGGGGGUCUAGGGAAUUUAUUCAUCAACUCCCGCUAGUCAUUCGAUGAAGGCUAAUUGAGUGCAGGAGGGACCAUCAUCCCUGACACUUCUAGUCUUAGAGGGCAGGCAGAGUGGCCAGAGAAAGUUCUCAGGCAAAGAAUCACAGUUCCUGGCACUUCAAGACAGGUUGGCUUGUUUUGGAAAUGGUAAAUAACACGGCAUAAGGCAGAGCACUAUAGGCUUCAUAACUGGUGGAGCAGACCAAUGGUUCCUUGGGGUCCUUUGCCCUUUUGACCAACUACUUAGUCCCAGUGAAAAUAGACAUAUUCAGAGAAGAACAGAAAGACUUCCGACAUUAGGUCAGAAAUCCAGAAUGUCUACUUGUUUUCUGUCCUGUUCCAUUCCUUGACAUUAUUUUACUAAUUAGACUCUACAUCCUUCAUUCUUCUAUUUCUCGUCUCAUUUUCUGUCAGGCAAAGAGACAUUUAGUUUGCCCUAUAGCAUCCAGUUCUAUGUCUUCACUAGAGUAAGAACUCAAUAUUUUAUUCCUGACUGAUCAGAAUAUUUUUAUCCCAUUGGUUUUUGCCAUCUAAAACAGUUGUCAGCUCACAAAAUUCCAGAAUAUUCAAAAAUAAGCUUUCAUGAACUGGGUGAGCCAUUGUAUUUACGUGAGAUGAUAUUAAAAAGCUAUCCUCUAUCUCAUGAAGUUGUCGUGGCAGACAGUACCCCAAAGAUCUAUUUUUCUGUCUUUAGCUAACUUAAACCUCUCUUUCCUUGUUUUGGAUGGUAGGGAGAAAAUUGCUGGUUGGAAGUGAUAGGAAGAACAAUGUCAGGAUCAAUGAUAGCAUCACAGCAAAAUAAUUAUUGUUAUAAUUGUAAUGCUUUGCAUUUAAAUUGCACUUUUAUCCAAAAGUCUCACAACACUUUUCUGAAUAUCUCUUUUGAAUUCAAAAGCAUUUACUGAAGAAGGCAGAGCAAAAUAUAAUUAUAUUACAAUUUUACUCUGAAAUGUAAUUCAAUUCAUACAAAGUGGAUUUUGGAAAUUGAAUUAUUGACAUACAUAUGAAAAAUUUUGUGGUGUAUUUUUGACAAAGGAAGUCCCAGCGUAUGGGUCUUUGAGGAGAGGAUGAAAAAUAGGUGCUAACACGUUUCCAAGCAAUGGACAGCGAAAUAGAAUAAAACUGUCAGGAAGCAGAUUGAGAUGAAAAACAAAAACCAAAGUCUCCCUACUCCUGGCCCAAAACUCUUGCUAGAGGGCUUUUAAAUGACAUGGCCCCAGGACUCCAAUAAAAGAUGAAAUCUUUUCUUCCUGGAAUAGCAAGACAUUUCUUAGAAGACGGUAGGCAUACAGAAAGAAUUAGACUCAAAGUAUCUAAGAUAGAGAGCAGGCAAGAGGUGAGCAGGAGGGGAAGGAACAGCUUACAGAGGUUCUGUCCUUCAGCCUUUGGACCCCUGCGGAGAUACAAAUGGACUUUGGGGUGUCUAUGAACCCUUAGAAACCACAUGUAGAUUGUGUAUGUGUUUGAACACAUUCAUUGUGAUGAGGGUGUCUCUACCUUACAUGAGAUUUUCCAACAGUCUCUUAACUAUGAGUUAUAAUCUCGUAUAACCUCUCUCUGCCAGCCUAGAGAGAUGCCCUGAAGACGUGGAUCUGACAUUGCUCUUAAAAGUAACCCCCAAAUUUCACUAGCUUAUGCACUGUUUGGACCUUGCCUACUUCUCCAGCCUCAGCUGAAAGGCAGCAGAAAGUAGUGAUAACAAGGCAGAUUCUAGAGAAAGAUUGCCUAGAUUCAGCUCUAUACUUACCAGCUGACAGUUAUAUGACCUGGAGCAAGUUACUUGGGACUUAUCCCAUCUGCAGCUCUGAUUCCUCAUGUUUAAAAUGGGGGUAAUAAUAAUAGCAUAUAACUUGGCUGGUUUGGGAGCACACUAACCUCCACCACAUUUAUCUUCUCCCAUUUCUUCAAACACCAUGUUCCUUCUCACCUCAGGGGCUUUGCACAAGCUUUUCCUUCUGCCUGGAAAGUUUUGCUUUUUGUGUGUGUGUGUGAGGAAGAUUGGCCCUGAGCUAACAUCUGUGCCUAUUUUCCUCUAUUUUAUAUGUGGGACGCCGCCACAGCAUGGCUUGAUGAGUGGUGCAUAGGUCCACAUCUGGGAUCCGAACCCGCGAACCCUGAGCCACCGAAGCAGAGUGCGUGAACUCUACCACUACACCACCAGGCCAGCCCCAACCUGGAAAGCAUUUUUGCCCCAUUUCUUUCCCUAGCUGAUCUCACAGGUCUCAGCUUAAACUUCACUUCAUAAGGCAAUUUCUGACCACCAUAACUUGGUUCAGCCCCUCUCUGUUAUGUUCUAUAUGACCCAGUGGAGUGCUGGAAUUGGCUCACACUGGCUGAUGGGAGCUGACUAUUAAAUUUUAUGGAAUUUUCUAAGCUGGCAACUGCUGCCAGCUUGAAGUCAACCAUGGUGGAAGUAUUUACUCCAUGGAAAUAGGCAAAUUUUACAUAUCAGGACUUUUUUUUUUCCUAAGCUGGUUUAACAAUAACUACUGUAUGUAAGAUCCUGUACAUUUUCUUUGUCACAAUUUUAAUUAUGCAAUGAUUUCUCUGAUUGUGUGUUUACAGUCAGCCUCCCUCACUCAGCUGUAGGCUCCAUGAGGCAGGAACUAUGUCUGUAUGUUCAAUGCUAUCCUUACACUACCUAAUAAAAAAUGUGACCCCAGCCCUUAACUCCUUUAAAGAAGCAGAUCAACAAAGGCAAUCUGGCAAAUGGUUCCCAUUCUGCUUCCUUAGGGAAGAAAAGAAUUAAGGAAGAAGAACCAAUGUUGACAUUCCUCUUCCAAUACUCCCCUCCAUGUGUCAUGGGAUAGCUGGAGUGUCAUACAUAAUGUAGUUCUUGGUACGGGGCCAUGAGAAGCUCCUGACAAUGGCAGGACUUUAGUGACCAUGUGGGGUGAAAAGUAGCACAUGUCCACCACUCAGGUUUGGAGAAAUGCAGCCUCUCAGUUAUUAUAACCAUCCUUCUUGGUAAUCUGGAUAGCCUUAGAACUCUCAGAGAUGCCUCUAUGUGUGUGCCUCUUUGCUGCCCACCCCAGUAGUUUCAGGUGGAGCUAAGGGGUUGCAAAUUGCCUGUGGAAUAGUGCUCCAGGAUGGUGCUGUGUCUGCUACCUCUUGGUGGUUUACAGCUAAAAGAGGGUGUCACAUGGGUGGUUUUGAUUGCCUGAAGACUAUGAAUUGGGAAACUCUAAAGAACUCAAAAAAGAUAGUGCAACUAGCUUAUCAGAGAUGGAGAAAUUGGGCCAGACUCACCAGAUGGGCUGCUGUAGCCUAAUCCUCUCCUAUUUGAGGCAGUUGACCUCUGCUGAGACCAGCUUCCACCAAAAAUUGACUCCUGUGGAUCUGCACAGGAUGGAGUGUUGCUCGCUACCAGGCAGAGGAUUCACAGGGCUUUGGCCAACUUGUCAGGAAGGAAAAUGGGUUCAGUGGAGACAAGGUAUACAGCUGGGGGAACACACCAAGCCAUUUCUCCAUCUUGAGGAUGUCAGUCACUGAGCUGUAGAUAAGUAGAGAAUGAGCCCCUAUAAUAUCUAGUAACCACCAACACAACUGAGCAUCCUGAAUCAGUUAGGAGAGUGGUGCUCCCAAUCUAGAAUCACUGAACCCUCAUGCCUUAUCAGGCUUGAUGGAUGGACAGGACUCAGCCCAGAACCUUAGGACCAUCAAAGGCAUGUGAUUCAAGGCAAUGCCCAGAGGUCAAGUUGUAGACAAUCAAGGGCUUCCAGACUGGAUGUCUCAUGAGCUGAGUUUACCCAGAUACCAUCCUGAGAAGGUGUAAAAUUUUCUGAUUGUCAGGUAUUAGGAGAUACAAACAAACAAACAAACACAUAGGCAUUGCAGCAGUCAAAUGACCUCAGAGCCUCCUCAACUCGUUGAGCUUAUCUGGAAAGCCCACUUGUAUCCUCUCCCCUCCCAGAUACAAGGCAGUAAGUCUCCUGGAGUUCAUUGCUCAAGCUUUAAUGUGCAUACCAGUGUUCUGGGUACCCUGUUAAAAAGCAGGAUCUGGUUCGCUAGAGGAGAGAUGAAGCCCAAGACUCUGCAUUUCCAUCACACUUUCAGAGGUUCCAAAGCUGCUGAUCCAAAGACCAUACUUUGAGGAGCAGGCCUCAGAGGACACCUUCCGCAAAGAGGUAAUUACGAGGGAGGUGAGUGCCACAGGUGCUCAGGGUGGGUCUCUCUGGGACCUAUCGUGCGCUCUGCCAGUGUGUCUGAUUUUUACUCUCCACCUUCCAAUUUUUGGAAAAUAGAGAUGACAAUAAAAUCUGUGAAAUGGAGAUAAUAGUAAUUUUUCUCUUUCAGCCCCUCAGCAAUAUCAUGAGAAAAUAACUUAAUGGCUGCUAAGUAUUUUCAAAUCCGGAGUGCUGUUAGCUUCUUGCUUAAGAGUACAUUUCCACAAGGACAGAAAAGUGCUUCAUAAUGACCCAGCGUCCACACAACUGUUGGGAGUGGGAGGGUGUUGCAAUCACAUGUCAUGGCAUCCUUCCUCACCGCCCCCUCCACAUUUUUUUUUUUGAGUUGUUCUCGUAAUAUAAGGUUUAUGGAUGUGCUGCACUCCAUCCACACCCUCAGUCCUAAGCUGAACUGUCCUUUCUAAUGGGCUGGUGGCAAACCUGUGGCUCAGCUAAUCAGGGCCCAUGAAUGUCAGGAUGCUUUACUGGGGCUGAUGUGGUUUUUCACUCCUGAAUUGUAUCUGACAGCCCGUGUGGGGCUGAAAGGCCAGGGCAUUUUUAGCUUUAGUUAAGCAACACCAAAAUCUUCCAGGUUGAAGCAAAUCCCUUUUUUACUGCUCUUGGAGUGCUAGCUGAGGGCACAGUGUAUCCUCAGCGCCAAGGCGCCGGCACAGAUGGGGCUGCUCUGGGCUGAUCCUCCUAUAUUUAACACGGCCCUAAUUACCCACAGGUCUCUGAGCGAAGAGGGCUGAUGAGCAGUUCAAGUUCCCUGCAUAGAAAUAGCCCCAGAAUAGUUCCAGUGUUGUUUCUAAUUGCAAUGGAUGAGCAGACUGUCUCAUUAAUCCUCUCCUAUCAGCGUGCAAACUGGCUGCCCCAGAAUAGCCCUGAUCUCAGCCAGCCCCGAGCCAGCUUUGGGGCUGGUGGUUUUGUACAUAUUUGGAGAGGGAAGGAUCUCCUCCCCAGAGAUGGCUGUGUGCGUUUGGGGGUGAGGAACAGUCUAUGGAUUCUGGAAUCUUAGGUAUACAUGGGAACUGGAUUCAGAAGAACAAAGAAUACCACAUGAGUCUGGGCAGGAUUGGUUCAAAACAGCAGUGAAGUAGCUGAAAUAUGUCCUUCAAAUGACCCCAGCAUGUUCUUGUGCCCUUUUACCUCUCUGUGUGAAUAUUUCACUCUGUUCAUUUCUCCUUGCUCUGACUUUUCUGUCUCUACUCAGUGUAGGAUCUAUCAGUCAUGUGCAUCUUAGUAUGAAUGUGCCACUAGGAGGUUUGCACAUGUUUACAGCUUUAAAAUUUACAAAGAUUACUUCCCUUUGCACACCCAUUCUAUUAGACUCUCACAGCAACCUUAUGAAGUUAGCAAUGGCAGGCAUUGUUCCCAUUACACAGAAGAGGAAAUUGAGACUCCGCAAGGAACACUUGGUGAGCACCCCAAGAUCACACAGUUAGCAAAUGACAGAUCUUGGACAAGAAACCAGACCUUUUCUCUGAUAGUUCUGGGAGAAACUUGAUUCCUUGUUAGAGAAAUAUAAUAUUUUAGUUAUGGUUGGGAUGAUACCAUGGACAAAGAAGACUCUGGAAUCAGACAGAUUGGGAUUUCAAUCUCUGACUCUGUGCAUGUGCAUGUUGUAAGAAUUAAAUAAGAUACUACACACAAAGGACCUCUAGUUGGCAAAGUGAAAGUAAGAAGGAAAAAAACAUUUAAUUCCGCAAUACUGAGCUAUUUUGUACUUUCCUUUGGGGAGAAGGAGAUUAACCUUUUAGAGCACAGGGUUCAAAAAGUAACGUGUGGGCCAGUCUUUCUCCUUCUUCUCUCUCCCUCCUUUCCUCCCCAACUAUUUAUGAAGCCCCUUGCAUGCGCUAGGCUCUGUGGGAGAUACAGUAAUUUUGCAAGUCAAGUUUCCCUGAAAUAUCAGACCAUUAAACCCAAUCAACUACCACUGAAUAGAAGAGAGGAGGAUUGUAAGUAAAAUUUGUUGAGCAGCUAUUAGGCUCCAGGCAAUGUUAGAUGUUCAUAUACAUAUAUAUUUGUUUAUAUUUAUAUGUGUAUAUAUGUGUGUGUAUGUGUCUCUGUGUAUGUAUAUGUGUGUCUGUAAAUGUAAUUUUCGCAAAAAACGCAUGAUGUAGUCUUCACAUUAUAGAGCAAAACACUUUAGAGGGGAUAAAUAACUUGACUAAAGAAGAGAAGUUAUUGUCUCAACUUCUCUUCCCAUAGCAGGAUGGAAAAAAAAUAAAAGAUGAAAGACGAAAGUAAUAAACUUGCCCAAGAUCACAUACAUCAAUGCAAGUGAAUGGUGACGUGCGAUCUACAACCACAGACCUUCGGGGACACCUGCGGUUAUUUUCUCGCAGAAUGUCAAAUCUUUCACAGCCUUCAAGGCCCAUCUUUGAAGUCACUGCCUCUUUGAAGCCUGGCCAGACUCUCCACUUCCUCUUCCUGCCCCUUGUCUACAUGGAUUGGUCUUUUCUACCUCUGCUCCCAUAGUGUGUUGUGUGUAGCCAUCCUGCACUGUAUCGCUGCUCAGUCAUGUGCUGCAUAACACAGUUUCACUCAACAAUGGACCACAUAUAUGAUGGUGGUCCCAUUAGAUUAGUACCAUACAGCCUAGGUGUGUAGAGGCUAUACUAUCUAGAUUUGUGUAAGUACACUCUGUGAUGUUCACACAAUGACAAAAUCACCUAAAAACACAUUUCUUAGAACAUAUCCCCAUUGUUAAGUGACACAUGACUGUAUUGUAAUUUAACAGUCUAUGUGUCAUAGCUAUCUUUUGUGAACUGCUUCAGAGGAUGACACCUGCCAUGUCUAAAAAAUCAACUAAGAAAUAAAUGGAAAGGGUCCACUUCUAGACGAGAGGAGGCAGUCUAUAGCAAGAGCUGGAAGUUCUCAGUAUUCAUUAUGCCCACACACUGUCUUCAAUCCUUUACAUAUAUCUUCUCAUCCAGUUUUCACAGCCUCUCCAGAAGGUAGGCAUUAUUAACCC